ACUGCCGCACAGGCUCAGGCUCCGGGUUCCCUGCGGCGACUCGGGCUUCAAGGCACCGAGGAACCUAAGAUCCACAGCCCCAGCGCCCCUUGAGCCGCGAUGUGUACCCCGGGUGCGCACCGGGCGGUUUCCCGAGGGCGGCGGAGCAGAAAGCCUGGGUAACCCUAGAGCAGCUUUGUGCUAUUAGCCCUCUUUACUAGCCGACCUGGCCCAAACCACUGGCACGUGAUUUACAUGAUCAAGUUUAAGCACAUUUAACAAUAAUCAUAUUUAUGCCCCGCUGCCUUAUAAAAGUACCAACAGUUCAAUGACGAUGUCUUGAAAGAUUUUUUACUAUCACCCGUUAUUCUAUCUAAAUUUUAGUGUUUUCUGCAUUUGUUCUACAGGUUUUAGAAGGUAAUUUUUCCAGGCAGAAUCUGGACCCUUCUAGAUGAAGAGUAAUUCAUGAAGAAAAUACUUUGAACCAUCGGAGUGCUUGAAGUCUAUCUCACGCGCUCUGUCCUCCCCUCUCCGCUCACUGAGAAGUCGGCCUUGAUGACUCCCCAGCAGUGACCUUGCCUUCUUCUGGGGCUCCAGGCUGCCCUCUUGGCACCACCACCCCCCCUUCGCAGUCGGGACCUCGGUGUCCUGGCUUCUCCUUGGAAAUCCUUGAGCCCUGCUCUAAUUAGGAAGAACUGCUGGAUUGCAGCGUUGACUGAUUUCCAGCUCUGCAAUUUGGGGACCCUAGACUUAGAGACCUAAGUCUAAGAACACAGCAAAAGCAGAUAGGAAAGACCUCAGUGACAGGGGUCACAAUGACAGAAGUAACCCAAACCUCACUGGCGUGCUACCCACUGGCUCACCCAGGACUCCUGAGUCCCAAGAAGAACCCAAUCAUGUGGAGGUGUGUUGGGAGCUCAUGAACAAUCCCACUCCUGUUGCAGGAGGGGCACCCCCUGAGCCAUAUGGGCACCUUGAAGUUCUGUGACAUGCAGUAGAACUCACUCCCCUACCACCCCCAAUCCAUUCCCCUGGGUGCAGGGACCCCCAAGCAGAGCUGCCUGACCCCCACUGGGCUCAGGGUUGUAGUUAAAUGUCGACUUCAGUUCUUACUCCUAGGACUCUGGCAUGAGGUCAGUGGGGCUGGAAAGGAGUCAGCCAAGGAACAGACGCCAGCUUGGGCCCAGUCCCACACUAACACGGGCCAUUUCCAGGAGACUCCUCAGUCCUCAUAAACCCCCUCUCCAGUUCAUUAGAGACAAGAAGAUGCUGGGCCCCACACAGCUUUAUUCAUCUAAAACCCAAACCGACUCUGUUUCCACACCUCUUACACCUAAGCUGAUCCUUGAUACAGUCGAUGCUCCCUCCUGCCUUUACUCCCUCCUCCACCUGGGGGCUAGCAUUCAAAGACUGCUGUUGGCUUGGCUUUCUACUCCUCUCCCUGCCUUCCCCACUGAACUGCGCUAGCAGCAGCCACAAGUGGGAGAGUUCUUGCACCCUGAGGUCUGAAUCCCAGCCCUGCCAUAUGUCCCCUCUCCAAGCUGCUUUCCUCCACUGAAAUCUAGGAUUAAAGAUAUCUACCUCACAGGGAUUAAACAGGCUAAGUGAUGUCAAAUGCCUAGAAUAAUUACUGGGUGCCUGCAUCUGAGCUCACUACAUUCUCCUGGGUGCUUUCAACACCACUCUUCUCCAUGCCUGCCCCGAGACUGCUGAAAACUGCUGGAGGAAAUGAAAUCACUAUGAGGAUCAAUACUCUGACAAAUCUGCAGCAUCACACUUUACCAGGUUCAUUUCUCUAACUUUCAAAAUUUUGCACAACGUGAUUUUUUAAAAAUUGUUUUUCAAUUAA